AACGAACGCUGGCGGCGUGUCUUAAGCAUGCAAGUCGGGCGGCAAGGAAGUGCUUGCACUUCCCUAGAGCGGCGGACUGGUGAGUAACGCGUGGAUGAUCUGCCUGUGAGAUGGGGAUAGCCAUUAGAAAUAGUGGGUAAUACCGAAUACGCUGGUGCGACUACGAUUGCAUCAGGAAAGGCGCUACGGCGCCGCUCGCAGAUGAGUCCGCGUCCUAUUAGCUAGUUGGUGGGGUAAAGGCCUACCAAGGCGAUGAUAGGUAGCCGGCUGAGAGGGUNUACGGCCACACUGGGACUGAGAUACGGCCCAGACUCCUACGGGAGCAGCAGCUAAGAAUAUUCCGCAAUGGACGAAAGUCUGACGGAGCGACGCCGCGUGGAUGAGGAAGGCCGAAAGGUUGUAAAAUCCUUUUAGUCGGAGAAGAAUAAGUGGGGGAGGAAUGCCCUCAUGAUGACGUUAACCGGCGAAUAAGCCCCGGNUAACUACGUGCCAGC
rnacentral:rRNA from 1 species